CCGUGCUAGGCGGGGGGCUCGGGGUCCCCUGAACCGGAAACCCUCGAUACGCCGGGCUGACUACUCGUCUGCGGCCUGCGUGCGACCGGGCAGCCCCCGGUGGCCGGUGUUGAAGGUCGGGUCCCGCGCGACCCGGAGCCGUGAAUCAGGUCAGGCCCGGAAGGGAGCAGCCUUAAGCGGUGUCCCGGGAGUGCCGCGGGAGUGCCGGGCCGGAGCCGGGCAUCGGGUCAGCGCCGAUCGUUCGUGGGUCCAGGACGAGGUGCACGG
rnacentral:SRP_RNA from 1 species